UAGAAUAUUUUUAGUUAAAAUUUUUUUUACAUUGAGUUAACAACAUUUUCCGUCUCAUCAAAAUUUUUCGUGUGAAAUUGUUUUGACUUGAUACAAUUUGUAUAUAAAAAAAAUGAGCAUGGGCAAUAGUUAUUUAAAUUUCGUCGAGGAUUAUAGGACUCAUUACCCGGACCUACCACCUUUGGAGGUGGCAAGAGCAGCGCGAACAGCAUGGGAUAGUUUAGCAUCUAAAGAAAAACUUCUGUACCAUACGGAAAGCAUUGCGAGUCUCCAAGAGGACAUAGCUAUGGAAUGUGGUACAUGUGGAAAGAAAAAGAAGAAAAAAGGUUGUCCAAAGAAGAAGAAAAAGAGUUGUCCCAAGAAGAAGCGUAAUCCGUGUGCUAAAAAGAAGCCUAAAUGUAAGAAAAAGCCCAAUCCGUGCAAGAAGAAGAAAAAGCGUCGUCAAAUUUGUUGUUAAUUUAAAUGAUUUUGAAACUGAUUGGAAAAGAAAUAAUUUGGUGGAAAGUUACAUCCUCUUGCUUCCAGUCUUUCAUACCACCACAUAAAACAAACUUUUCCUAACAAUAGUCCUCAAACUCUGUAUCCUAAGACCCUGAGCCUGAAUAACAAUAAAGCCAUUAUAUAUUGUUGAUUAUGAUGCGUUACUUAGUUCUAAUUUUAAAUUGAUGUUACCUAAAAAACCAUUGAAAAAUUUGUGUUUCCUAUGGUUCCUGUUUAAGCGUUGAUCUUAAAAAUCCUAUAUAUUUAUUAUGAUUGUUUACUAUGUAUGUCCAAAUGAAAGUGGAUAAAAAAGAUGUCUUGAACAAUGUGUAUUUUGAUGCGUUACUUAGUUCUAAUUUUAAUUUGAUGUUACCUAGAAAAUCGUUAAAAAAAAUUGUGUUUUCUAUGGUUCCUGUUUAAGCCUUGAUUUUAAAAAUCCUAUAUAUUUAUUAUGAUUGUUUACUAUCUAUGUCGAAAUGAAAGUGGAUAAAAAUGAUGUCUUGAACAAUGUGUAUUCCAAUUCCAGCAUAUUUAAAAAAAUAUUUCCGUUGUGUACUAUAAUGAAAAAAUGUAUUAAAUAUCCAAAGAGUAAUACUGUAAAAAAAUGAGCGGCUUGUAGAAAUACAAUUAAUUUAUUUGUAUUAUAUGGUCACAGGUCGUAAAAACCUGUUGUAAUGGAAAAAUUCGAAGAUCAAGAUAGACUUGGGUGAAGAACAAUGCUUUGAAAUUUAAGAAAAAAUGUGUACUAUAUGAGAAACAGUAAUAGUCUCGAAGACUGUUUAAUAGAAGAAGAAAAAGAUUUGUGUAAAACUGACGAAAAAAAGUUGUGCGAAGAUGUAUCGAAAGAGAUAUGGUGAGAAGGCGAAACCCAGAUGUAAGCUAAAUGUAAAGCCUGCAACGAGCGUAUGCGCCCCCAAAUUUAUUGCAAAUAAUUCAAGGUUGAAAAAAUGGCUUAUUACAAUGUUACAACUCUUGCCUCUAGUCAGUACAAUCUACCAUAUCAUAACAUCAGCUGUCAAAAAUAACUAUCUUGAUCUGAAUGACACUAACUCCAUCAUAUAUUAUUAAUUUUGUUAUGUUACUAAUUUUAAGAUUGUUUACUAUGUAUGUGUAAUGAAUGUGUUAUGAAAAUCUAAACGACUGUAAAUGAAAUAUUAAUAUUUACCGCAACUUUACUGAUGCGUUCCAUAUUAUUGUCUAUUUAAUUUGACGUAUAUAGCCUUUCAAGUACUUAUAAUAAUUUAGUGAUUAUCCAGAAUCAAAACUUACAACGUAAAUCCUUCUCAAACUAUUUAAAAUAUAAAAACUUGAAACAACCAAUUGUGUAAAUUUAAAACAAGUUUUUAUUAUGAAAAUAAUUGUGAAUUCCAAUAAUAAAACGUGCUCUCUGAAGUAAAAUAAGAUGAAGAAAGAAAGUUUAUUUAAAAAUGCAAGCAAAAAUAAAAUUUUGCAGACCCAUUCGAAGUAAUUUUUUUGCAGUUGGAGUUAUUAAAACUUUGCUCAAUUAUACAAUAUAAAAGUUAAUAAUGUAUAUGUAUAAAUGAAUUUAAAUAAACUAUUAAAAAUUUAA